AGGCUUAUGCCCCGUUCUUGGUGGCAUGUUGGUGAAGGCAUUGACAAAUGGAGGUCCCACCAAGAUUGGGAAAGAGAAGGUUUCCUGACGGGUCAUCCCGGGAAGCCAGCCGGCGAAGGAGGGACGUUUUGGGGAUGCUGCAGGAGUGUGCCAGCUGCCAGAGUGGCUGGUGAGACAUGCUGAUGCUGGGAGCAGGAAGAUUCAGCUCUCGUGUUUCGGGUGCCUGGAGUCAUUCCUGUGCCCUUGGAGGAAGAUGGAGGAUUUCCCCUCUCUUGUGUCAUCACGGAGAUUUUGGCAAUGCUGCAGUCAUUGUUACCAAUACUGCAUGUCCCGUCCCACCACGGCCUGUACUCCAACCCUCCGUGCACUGCUGCAUGCUGGAGGAGAAGACCGGACUCCAGCCCUUACCCCUGACCCUCCCCGUUCUCUGGCAGCUAUCGCCGCCAUAACUGGUGUUGCCAUUUCAUAGUCUGUGGCUUUGCAGGAAUGCCAUCUGCAUGAAGCUGCUGAGGACCAGAGAAAUUUUCUCUGGUUGUGCAGAUCAUAGGCAUAGUUCUAUUGCCUGCCGGUUGUUCAGGAGAAGGAUGAUGGCUGAUCCUGAACUGUCAUGGGG
rnacentral:lncRNA from 1 species